rnacentral:rRNA from 1 species
GACGAACGCUGGCGGCGUGCCUAACACAUGCAAGUCGAGCGGAGAAUGCGAGAUGUUUACAUUGAGUAUUCUUAGCGGCGGACGGGUGAGUAACACGUGGGUAACCUGCCUCAGAGUGGGGGAUAGCCUUUCGAAAGGAAGAUUAAUACCGCAUAAGCUUGUAGCAUCGCAUGGUGCAGCAAGAAAAGGAGCAAUCCGCUCUGAGAUGGACCCGCGGCGCACUAGCUAGUUGGUGAGGUAACGGCUCACCAAGGCCACGAUGCGUAGCCGACCUGAGAGGGUGAUCGGCCACAUUGGAACUGAGACACGGUCCAGACUCCUACGGGAGGCAGCAGUGGGGAAUAUUGCACAAUGGGCGAAAGCCUGAUGCAGCAACGCCGCGUGAGUGAUGAAGGCUUUCGAGUCGUAAAGCUCUUUGAUCAGGGAUGAUAAUGACAGUACCUGAAAAACAAGCCACGGCUAACUACGUGCCAGCAGCCGCGGUAAUACGUAGGUGGCGAGCGUUGUCCGGAAUUACUGGGCGUAAAGGAUGCGUAGGUGGAUAUUUAAGUGGGAUGUGAAAUCCCCGGGCUCAACCCGGGAACUGCAUUCCAAACUGGAUAUCUAGAGUGCAGGAGAGGAAAGCGGAAUUCCUAGUGUAGCGGUGAAAUGCGUAGAUAUUAGGAGGAACACCAGUGGCGAAGGCGGCUUUCUGGACUGUAACUGACACUGAGGCAUGAAAGCGUGGGUAGCAAACA